rnacentral:rRNA from 1 species
CAGUAGCCGCGGGAAUACGAAGGGGGCUAGCGUUGCUCGGAAUGACAGGGCGUAAAGGGCGCGUAGGCGGCGAUCAAAGUCAGGCGUGAAAUUCCUGGGCUCAACCUGGGGGCUGCGUUUGAUACUUGAUUGCUAGAGUGGGGAAGAGGGUCGUGGAAUUCCCAGUGUAGAGGUGAAAUUCGUAGAUAUUGGGAAGAACACCGGUGGCGAAGGCGGCGACCUGGUCCUUGACUGACGCUGAGGCGCGAAAGCGUGGGGAGCAAACAGGAUUAGAUACCCCUGUAGUCCCUGUCUCUUAUAC